GUGCUUGCUUCGGCAGCACAUAUACUAAAAUUGGAACGAUACAGAGAAGAUUAGCAUGGCCCCUGCACAACGAGGACAUGCAAAUUCAUGAACGUUUCAUAUUUAA
rnacentral:snRNA from 1 species